rnacentral:rRNA from 1 species
CCCCCUUCGGCAGGCCUAUACAUGCAGUCGACGGUGUCUUCGGACAUAGUGGCGCACGGGUGCGUAACACGUAUGCAACCUACCUUACAUUGGGGGAUAGCCUUUCGAAAGGGAGAUUAAUACCGCAUAAGACAGUAGCUGGGCAUCCAGCAGCUGUUAAAGAUUUAUCGAUGUAAGCUGGGCAUGCGUCCAAUUAGCUAGUUGGUGAGGUAACGGCUCACCAAGGCUAUGAUUGGUAGGGGAACUGAGAGGUCAAUCCCCCACACUGGCACUGAGAUACGGGCCAGACUCCUACGGGAGGCAGCAGUAGGGAAUAUUGGGCAAUGGACGCAAGUCUGACCCAGCCAUGCCGCGUGCAGGAUGAAGGCGUUAUGCGUUGUAAACUGCUUUUAUACAGGAAGAAACGACUCUUGCGAGAGGCAUUGACGGUACUGUAUGAAUAAGCACCGGCUAACUCCGUGCCAGCAGCCGCGGUAAUACGGAGGGUGCAAGCGUUGUCCGGAUUUAUUGGGUUUAAAGGGUGCGCAGGUGGUUUAUUAAGUCAGUGGUGAAAGACGGUCGCUCAACGAUUGCAGUGCCAUUGAAACUGGUAGACUUGAGUAAAGUAGAGGUGGGCGGAAUUGAUAGUGUAGCGGUGAAAUGCAUAGAUAUUAUCAAGAACUCCAAUUGCGUAGGCAGCUCACUUGGCUUUUACUGACACUCAUGCACGAAAGUGUGGGUAUCAAACAGGAUUAGAUACCCUGGUAGUCCACACUGUAAACGAUGAUAACUAGGUGUCGGCCGAAUCUGGUCGGUGCCACAGCGAAAGCGUUAAGUUAUCCACCUGGGGAGUACGCCGGCAACGGUGAAACUCAAAGGAAUUGACGG